CCCGCUGAACUUAAGCAUAUCAAUAAGCGGAGGAAAAGAAACUAACAAGGAUUCCCCUAGUAACUGCGAGUGAAGCGGGAAAAGCUCAAAUUUGAAAUCUGGUGGCCGAAAGGUUGCCCGAGUUGUAAUUUAGAGAAGUGCUACCCGCGCUGGACCGUGCACAAGUCCUCUGGAAUGGGGCAUCAUAGAGGGUGAGAAUCCCGUCUUUGGUACGGACUCCCAGUGCUUUGUGGUGUGCUCUCGAAGAGUCGAGUUGUUUGGGAAUGCAGCUCAAAAUGGGUGGUAAAUUCCAUCUAAAGCUAAAUAUAGGCGAGAGACCGAUAGCGAACAAGUACCGUGAGGGAAAGAUGAAAAGAACUUUGGAAAGAGAGUUAAACAGUACGUGAAAUUGCUGAAAGGGAAACGCUUGAAGUCAGUCGCGUUGGCUGAGAAUCAACCUUGCUUUGCUUGGUGUACUUUCUGGUUUGAUGGGCCAACAUCAAUUUUGACCGUUGGAGAAAGGCAUUGGGAACGUGGCACCUUAGGGUGUGUUAUAGCCCUUUGUUGUAUACGACGGUCGGGAUUGAGGACUGCAGCACGCCUUUAUGGCCGGGGCUCGCCCACGUACGUGCUUAGGAUGUUGGCAUAAUGGCUUUAAGCGACCCGUCUUGAAACACGG
rnacentral:rRNA from 1 species